rnacentral:tRNA from 1 species
AGCGGUGUGGCCUGAUGGACAGAGCACAGGCCUGGGAGUCUGAAGGACCUGGGUUCUAAUCCCAGCUCCUCCA